rnacentral:rRNA from 1 species
CCUACGGGAGGCAGCAGUGGGGAAUAUUGGACAAUGGGCGAAAGCCUGAUCCAGCCAUGCCGCGUGUGUGAAGAAGGCCUUCGGGUUGUAAAGCACUUUCAGUGGGGAAGAAAGCCUUGGGGCUAAUACCCUCGAGGAAGGACAUCACCCACAGAAGAAGCACCGGCUAACUCCGUGCCAGCAGCCGCGGUAAUACGGAGGGUGCGAGCGUUAUUCGGAAUUACUGGGCGUAAAGCGCGCGUAGGCGGUCUGAUAAGCCGGUUGUGAAAGCCCCGGGCUCAACCUGGGAACGGCAUCCGGAACUGUCAGGCUAGAGUGCAGGAGAGGAAGGUAGAAUUCCCGGUGUAGCGGUGAAAUGCGUAGAGAUCGGGAGGAAUACCAGUGGCGAAGGCGGCCUUCUGGACUGACACUGACGCUGAGGUGCGAAAGCGUGGGUAGCAAACAGGAUUAGAUACCCUAGUAGUC